rnacentral:rRNA from 1 species
UACGGAGGGGGCUAGCGUUGUUCGGAAUUACUGGGCGUAAAGCGCACGUAGGCGGCUUUGUAAGUUAGGGGUGAAAGCCCAGGGCUUAACCCUGGAAUUGCCUUUAAGACUGCAUCGCUAGAAUCGUGGAGAGGUGAGUGGAAUUCCGAGUGUAGAGGUGAAAUUCGUAGAUAUUCGGAAGAACACCAGUGGCGAAGGCGACUCACUGGACACGUAUUGACGCUGAGGUGCGAAAGCGUGGGGAGCAAACAGG